AUUUAAUCAAGCUGCAGCACGACUUAAAGUUUACUCCCCUCUUUCUGUGGAGAGCUAAUAGCCAUGCCUGCUGGUUGCUCUAGUUACCCCUUACUGGAAAACAUCCAGGCUGUUCGUCCCUGUGGGUCUAAGACUUCCUUCCUGGAGCUCCCUGUCAACUCAAAAGCUAACUGUCGCUUUCUAGAGAGUAAAUCUACUACAGCCAGGCUAUUUCACUGGCUUUCUGAAAGGAUGGGGUUGGUUUUGAGGGGGCGGAAAGGGGAUGUGUUGUGUUCGAGUUAGGAUUUUGCUUCUUGGUUGGUUGGUUGGUUGGGGUUAUUUGUGGGUUUGGUUUUGGUUUGCUUUUUACAGAACACUAUUCUCGAGUGCUGGAAUAAUAACUCUGUAAAGCUCACAGUUAUUAUAGCAUAUUCACUGAAGUUAAAGCUUACAGACUUCAUGUAAUGGGAGAUAGAGUUGUCCCUUUUAUUCUUGUGUAAAUUCUGUUAAAGCUAGUCAAAAACAAAUUGGAAGAAAUUUAAGCCCUGCAUAUUGUUCCGGAAAGAGCUUUCCUAAGACUUUCCCAGAAAUGUUGUGGGUUUCUUUUUAAUUCCAGCAAUGACCAUUCAAAGAAGGAUGAUUGGUCGUUUUUUAGGUUGUAGAUAUCAAGUUUCCCGUCCAGGCUUAAUUAGAUUGUUGGAUAUGGCUGUCUGGGUAUUCACAUUAGCGUGGCUGAAAAUAAGCUCUCUCCUCCCCUAGACAGUGGUAUUUGAGCACAGCGGCAGCAUUUCACUGCCCUGCAGCACUGAACGUGCGCCAGACUUGGGAAUAAAGGGAGCUUGUUCUGCUUCAAUCUCAGCCUUGUCCAGCAUCGUGCAGUGACACUGGGAGAUCUUCCAGGAAUGUGUGUCACAGGCCCUGCUGGGGCAGAUACCAAAGCAGCGUAACUACUCCACGGCUUGGUGCGGUAGCAAAGCUACUCCCAUGGAUGCCCAUUUACAAAGUUGCUACUGAAUAAUGAAAGGACAUUUGAAAACAACUCUGCCCAAAGCCGUGUGAAAUGUAUGUUGUGGCGGUUUUUCCUACUACUAAAUUUGAGUUAAGAAUAUAAUAAAAGAAGUAGCAGAAGAUGAAAUGUACUUUAGGAGAGUACCAAGAAAGGAGGAAAAGAAGCUACAAACAACAUCCACAAAACAGGUCGCAGGGGGCUGGAGACCCUCUUUGCCCAAAUGCAGCUAUAAGACUCCAGCUUCAGGGCCAACUGCUGCAGAAGUCGUUCUGGAAAGUACUAUGAUAGGUCCAAUGGUUCGACAGUUUUGCUGCAGUCUGGGAAGUCAACUGCAGAGCUGCUGAACCAAAGUGUUUUGCCAGCCUUCCCUCAAGAACCUAUUUGCUAAGUCAAAGCUGCACCAAGAAACAUCAACAGUUCGUGGAGUUAAGUGGCUGACAGGCACAUAGAUAUGGUUGCCAAGUGCUCUUGGACACCUUUGAUCAGGGUGCACAGGGGACAGAAUACUGCAUCCCAGGUGUGAUGCAAUGGUUAAAAUAUCCCACGUAAGCCCAGUGGUACUGGCAGUCUGGUCGGUGAUGUCUGUACCACUGUGGGCUCACGAAUGAGGUAAGCCUUCAUCCUGAUUAUACAUUAAACUGAUCUUCAAUCUCUGAUCUUGCACAGGGCUGGGGGGAAGCUGUCACCCUCUCCUUUGCAGGCCAAAGCUUUUUCAAGCAGUUGACACAACACCUGAGCAAUUAUGUACCAAUGUGGGAAAAGUCAGAAAUAUGCAACCUCCCAUUUUAUCUGUCAGACUGACUUGGAAAACCAGGCUUUUGUUCCUUUGUUCUUCCUUAAAAGUAACAUCUAUUAUGUGCUUACAAGAGUGAAACAACAUGCUAUUAGCUGUUACUUGUGGUGUCAUUUCUAAGUACACUUUGUUAAAUUAAUCAUGACAACGCACUAGUUCCUGGACUUAUUCAGCAGCAGCAUCAAUUAUGAAUCUGCUUCCACAAACACUGAGCAGGGAUGCAGAGACUGUGUGCUUCCCACUCACAGGUACAGAGGAGAAUUCUGUUGGAUUUAUCAGUAAUUAAUAUGCAAAACAUUUAUGGGUGCCAGUAUAGAGAGGCUUGGAAAGUGGAGACGGGGGCGGGAGAGGGGGUAGAGGAGGGAAGAGAAAGGAAAAAACAGCACAAAACAACACCACCACAUGCCACAAACAACCAACACCACAAAACGUGAUGAAGGCACAUCAUUAAUCAGCCCCUCCAGCACCUUUCUUCUUUAAAUUCAGUGGAGAUGUAAGGAGACCUUAUUUUAUUUCCUCAACUUCUUUUCUAUUGCACAGACCACUUGUUCCAAUAAGGUACAAUGCUUCAUUAAAUUAGGAAGUCAAUAACUGUGGUUUAAGUUGUACUUUAUUAUCACUAGUUUUCCUCAUUAGAUGUUUUCUUCUUCAUA